rnacentral:rRNA from 1 species
UACGUAGGGUGCAAGCGUUGUCCGGAAUUAUUGGGCGUAAAGAGCUCGUAGGCGGUCUGUCGCGUCGGCUGUGAAAUCCCGAGGCUCAACCUCGGGUCUGCAGUCGAUACGGGCAAACUAGAGUGUGGUAGGGGAGACUGGAAUUCCUGGUGUAGCGGUGAAAUGCGCAGAUAUCAGGAGGAACACCGAUGGCGAAGGCAGGUCUCUGGGCCACUACUGACGCUGAGAAGCGAAAGCGUGGGGAGCGAACAGG